GACAGAGGGUGCAAACGUUGUUCGGAAUUACUGGGCGUAAAGCGCGUGUAGGCGGCCCUGCAAGUCGGAUGUGAAAUCCCACGGCUCAACCGUGGAAGUGCAUUCGAAACUGCAGGGCUAGAGUCCUGGAGAGGAAGGUGGAAUGCUUGGUGUAGAGGUGAAAUUCGUAGAUAUCAAGCGGAACACCGGUGGCCGAAGGCGGCCUUCUGGACAGUGACUGACGCUGAGACGCGAAAAGCGUGGGGAGCAAACAGGG
rnacentral:rRNA from 1 species